CCACCGCCGCCUCUUGGAGUCAAGCCUCUGGUGCCACCUGUGGGCCCCGUGGGCUGUUUUGGGCGCAGCCCCCCUCUUGGCCAUGGUCUUGCCAAAGCUGCUUUCUUGGCUGUUCUGAGACUCCAGCCUCGAGGGCAAGGCGUACCUGACUUGAAUGGGGACAGGAAGAAGGAAGGCAGGGUCAGAAAAGUGGAGAGCAGGCUUGUGUUGGCUCAG
rnacentral:lncRNA from 1 species